GUGGGGAAUAUUGGACAAUGGGCGAAAGCCUGAUCCAGCCAUGCCGCGUGUGUGAAGAAGGUCUUCGGAUUGUAAAGCACUUUAAGUUGGGAGGAAGGGCAGUAAGUUAAUACCUUGCUGUUUUGACGUUACCGACAGAAUAAGCACCGGCUAACUUCGUGCCAGCAGCCGCGGUAAUACGAAGGGUGCAAGCGUUAAUCGGAAUUACUGGUCGUAAAGCGCGCGUAGGUGGUUUUGUAAGUUGGAGGUGAAAUCCCCGGGCUCAACCUGGGAACUGCAUCCAAAACUGCAUGACUAGAGUACGGUAGAGGGUAGUGGAAUUUCCUGUGUAGCGGUGAAAUGCGUAGAUAUAGGAAGGAACACCAGUGGCGAAGGCGACUACCUGGACUGAUACUGACACUGAGGUGCGAAAGCGUGGGGAGCAAACAGGAUUAGAAACCCGGGUAGUCC
rnacentral:rRNA from 1 species